rnacentral:rRNA from 1 species
UGGGGAAUAUUGCACAAUGGGCGCAAGCCUGAUGCAGCCAUGCCGCGUGUAUGAAGAAGGCCUUCGGGUUGUAAAGUACUUUCAGCGGGGAGGAAGGGAGUAAAGUUAAUACCUUUACUCAUUGACGUUACCCGCAGAAGAAGCACCGGCUAACUCCGUGCCAGCAGCCGCGGUAAUACGGAGGGUGCAAGCAUUAAUCGGAAUUACUGGGCAUAAAGCGCACGCAGGCGGUUUGUUAAGUCAGAUGUGAAAUCCCCGGGCUCAACCUGGGAACUGCAUCUGAUACUGGCAAGCUUGAGUCUCGUAGAGGGGGGUAGAAUUCCAGGUGUAGCGGUGAAAUGCGUAGAGAUCUGGAGGAAUACCGGUGGCGAAGGCGGCCCCCUGGACGAAGACUGACGCUCAGGUGCGAAAGCGUGGGGAGCAAACAGG